AUGGAUAGAAGUUCCGGUGAAGUGGUUGAGUGUCUAUGUGUACCGGGCAGUGCCGCUUCUCAGCUUACUCAUGCAUCUCAUCCUCUCUGUCUCUCCGAGAGCCGCCGGCGUGAAGGCAAAGGUUGGAAGAGAGGGUCACUGUGGUUGGCGUACCUGCUGACCGACUGGGGCCCGGCAUAUGUCAUCAGCAACCUUUACCUCGAAACCUCGCCGCGCGAUAAGAUAAUCAUUGCCUUCUGGGUGCCAUUCCUCCUGCUGCAUCAUGCUCGCCCCGACAACAUCAGCGCCUACACCAUGGAGGAUAAUGAGCUCUGGCUGCGCCUGUUCUUGUUAGCCCUCGUUAAGUCUUUGGGAUCCUUCAUUAUUGUGUACAGGUAUAUACUUACUGAAUGCACUGCCGACUGGUUUCUGCGCUGGGCAUCCGGCAUCAUGUUACCCCUGGGCAUUUUGAAGUAUCUGGAGAGUAUGCUGGCGCUUCGGCGAAGCGACUUGGGCCGCAUCCGGGACCACGGGUUAUCCAACAAGCAGACAUACACCAUUGAUGAUUAUAGAGGAGAUCAAGGGAAGCCGUUGGUCCUAAAAGAUGAUGAAGCCCUACUGGUUGCUCACAAUCUGUUCGAGGUCAGCAAGGGUGCCUUCUGUGAUUAUAAGGCAAAAAUUGAUCGUGAUGACAUCACAAGAAUGUUGUUCUUUGGUAGAUGGGAGAAUAUGUGCACGGUGGUAGAGAUGGAACUCUCCCUUAUGUAUGACAUACUGUACACCAAGGCAGCCGUGGUCCACACAUGGCAUGGCUACGUCAUCCGUCUGGCCUCGCCGCCCCUCACUGCCACCGCGCUCCUGUUUUUUGGCCUCCAUUGCAAAAAGGCCAUGAAGAAAGAAGAUGAAGUUAUCAGUUAUGUAUUGUUGGUGACGACCUUCCUCUUCGAUGUGAGAUGGCUGCUCAGAGCACUAGCAUCAGCCUGGACACAUUCAUACUUCAAACUUAUGCCACACAAUUGGCUAAAGCAUGAAUUUUGGUGCCAAGAGGUAUGGGAGAAACUCCGUCGGUUUGUUGUGUCGCUGUGUCUUUCCCGGCUCUCCGUGUGGUUGGGGACAUGCUCAUGUCCCAAGGUGCCUAAAAGCUACAGAAGAUGGGUGGGCACCUUCGGUCAGCUCAACUUGUUGGACCAGUGCACGGCAGGGAACAGGCACAACCUAUACAGCAUACCUAGACUGGCGACUGAAUCAAGAGACCACUCAAGGUCAAGGGGCUUUCAAUCGGAAGGCUACUCGAGGGGCCUUGAGAUUCCAGACUCUGUCAAGAAGCUGGUAUUCAGUAACAUAUGCACAAACUUAUUCCCUGAUCCUGCGGGCUCGACGAACCCCCAGCAGCCCAGCUACACUGAUAGUCCAAGAUCUCCACGGCCGCCGGGCAAAGGGCCGACGGACCCCCAGUCUAGUGAUACUGACACUGACAGGUCUCCACAGCCGCCGGGCAAGGGGAAGCCUUCUACAGGGUUGACGGGCCCUGAGCACCCUGGAGGCGAUGUCACUCCAAAGUUUCCAGAGUGGCCGGGCCACGAGAAGGCUCCCACAGGGUUGAUGGGCUUUGAGCAACCCGGAGGCACUAUCAUUCCAUGUCCUGGGGGGUGGCCGGGCUGCGGAUCUAAGCUACCAAACUAUUGCACAUGUGUGCAUCCAAGGUCACUGGAUCCCCAUGAGCACUGCCUUGGUAUCCUGUGUGGACCUCAAGGGCCUCCAUACCCCAGGGAGCAGAUGUGCAAUGGUGUAAAUGAUGAGCCUACUCUGCGGCUGCCAUACCCCAGGGAGCAGAUGUGCAAUGGUGUAAAUGAUGAGCCUACUCUGUGGCCGCUAUGCCCUAGAGAGUGGAUCUGCAAUGAUUUGGACGAUCAGGCUGCUCCCUGGCGGCAAUACCCCGCAGAGCGGUUCUGCAACAGUACCAACAGUGAACCCCCGAGGCUGCCUUACCCCUGGCAGGUUUCUGCUGGUAUGAGAAAUGCACCAUCUGAAGAAAGCAAUUUCAAGCAGCAAACUUACCGCUGGAGGUAUGAUCGAACUCCUGAACCCUAUGAGCAAGUUAAUCUAUGGAGGAAUGUCAACGCCAGUUCCGGUUAUGAUGUGAAAGCUGCAAGCAUCAAGCCUACAGAUCAGUCAGACAAAGACAUGGGCUUCCCUCUUGAGCUUCAAGAGGUUAUCCUCAUCUGGCACAUCGCCACAGACGUCUUCCUCUCGUGCAGCCCCAGGAUCACAGGAGAAGAGUCCGAGGAACAUGCAGAGGUGAUCAAGCAGAUGUCAGACUACAUGAUGUUCCUCAUCGCCAAACGCCCGGAAAUGCUACCAGGACUUAAGCUCCGCAGCCUGUAUGAAGAAACCCGGGAUACUCUACGGAAGAUACGGGGCAUCAAGGCGAAGAUCGAGGGACGUAAACACACUAGUUAUUCAACAGACGAGAAGAAGGAGCUUCUCAAUUGGAUGCUGGUAAACAUGGGUCUUUAUGAGGGCCUACGUCCUGCUAUCGUCUUGGAAGGAACUCGACUUGCCUGGAUGCUGCUAAGCCAAGUGUCCAAGGAUGGAGGAAGUGAAACUGCCGGAGAAGCCCCAAGUACGGUGGGAAGACUUGCAUAUUGGAUUCCACGUUUGCUGGAACUUCCUGUGGGGGAUAUGGACGACAUGCUGGAGCUCGUCCUGGAUGCAUGGGUGCGUCUGCUCAUGUACGCGUCCAUCCGGUGCGGCAGGGAUGCUCAUGCCAAGCAGCUCAGCUGGGGCGGCGAGCUCACGACCCUCGUAUGGAUCAUCACAGAACACGCGAAGAACAGCGUCGUUAAAAGGCAUCUAGAGUCACUUUUCCGUUGA
rnacentral:rRNA from 1 species